UGGGGAAUAUUGCGCAAUGGGGGCAACCCUGACGCAGCAACGCCGCGUGAUUGAAGAAGGCCUUCGGGUUGUAAAGAUCUUUAAUUAGGGACGAAAAAUGACGGUACCUAAAGAAUAAGCUCCGGCUAACUACGUGCCAGCAGCCGCGGUAAUACGUAGGGAGCAAGCGUUAUCCGGAUUUACUGGGUGUAAAGGGCGAGUAGGCGGGCUGGUAAGUUGGAAGUGAAAUCUGGGGGCUCAACCCCCAAACUGCUUUCAAAACUGCUGGUCUUGAGUGAUGGAGAGGCAGGCGGAAUUCCGUGUGUAGCGGUGAAAUGCGUAGAUAUACGGAGGAACACCAGUGGCGAAGGCGGCCUGCUGGACAUUAACUGACGCUGAGGAGCGAAAGCGUGGGGAGCAAACAG
rnacentral:rRNA from 1 species